UUGUCGGACAACAUGGACUAUUAUGGACUUUCUUUGCUCAUUGCCUCACUUCUAGCAGGUGCCAACUGUAAUCAACUGACUCCACAUGAGAAGGAAGUUUCCAGUUUAGAGGAAACUUCUGUUACCCUGAGCUACAAGUUUUCUGGACAAGCAGCUGCUACUGAUUAUUUCUUCUGGUAUCGACAAUAUCCUGGAAAACCUCCAGAGUUCCUGAUCUCGUACUCUGGAACAGGACGAAAAAUGUUGGAUCCCGUUCCUGGUUUUUCCUUUAAAGUGAGUGAUGAUAAAACACAGAUGGACCUGCUGAUCUCCUCUGCUGCAGUGACAGACUCUGCCAUGUACUACUGUGCUCUGCAGCCCACAGUGGCAGGAAACGCCAGAACUCUGUACAAGAACCUGCAAUAUUCUGCAACAUUCACUAGAGGGCCUCACACACUGUUAAAAGCAGAUUGUUGA